UAAUACCAGCACCCCGAGUGGUCGGGACGAUUAUUGGGCCUAAAGCAUCCGUAGCCGGUUCUGCAAGUCUUCCGUUAAAUCCAUCUGCUUAACAGAUGGGCUGCAGAGGAUACUAUAGAGCUAGGAGGCGGGAGAGGCAAGCGGUACUUAGUGGGUAGGGGUAAAAUCCGUUGAUCCACUGAAGACCACCAGUGGCGAAGGCGG
rnacentral:rRNA from 1 species